rnacentral:lncRNA from 1 species
AAAGUUGAGAAGAGUGAGCAACAAGGGUGAUGUCGUGGUUGGAGUCUGCUAUAGACCACCAGACCAGGGGGAUGAGGUGGACGAGGCUUUCUUCCGGCAACUAACAGAAGUUGCUAGAUCACAGGCCCCGGUUCUCAUGGGAGACUUUAAUCACCCUGAUAUCUGCUGGGAGAGCAAUACAGCGGUGCACAGACAAUACAGGAAAUUUUUGGAAAGUGUAGGGGACAAUUUCCUGGUGCAAGUGCUGGAGGAACCAACUAGGAGCAGAGCUCUUCUAGACCUGCUGCUCACAAACAGGGAAGAAUUAGUAGGGGAAGCAAAAGUGGAUGGGAACCUGGGACGCAGUGACCAUGAGAUGGUUGAGUUCAGGAUCCUGACACAAGGAAGAAAGGAGAGCAGCACAAUACGGACCCUGGACUUCAGAAAAGUGGACUUUGACUCCCUCAGGGAACAGAUGGGCAGGAUCCACUGGGAGAAUAACAUGAAGGGCAAAGGGAUCCAGGAGAGCUGGCUGUAUUUUAAAGAAUCCUUAUUGCGGUUGCAGGAACAAACCAUCCUGAAGUGUAGAAAGAAUAGUAAAUAUGGCAGGCGACCAGCUUGGCUAAACAGUGAAAUCCUUGCUGAUCUUAAACGCAAAAAAGAAGCUUACAAGAAGUGGAAGAUUGGACAAAUGACCAGGGAGGAGUAUAAAAAUAUCGCUCAGGCAUGCAAGAGUGAAAUCAGGAAGGCCAAAUCGCACUUGGAGUUGCAGCUAGCAAGAGAUGUUAAGAGUAACGAGAAGGGUUUCUUCAGGUAUGUUAGCAACAAGAAGAAAGUCAAGGAAAGUGUGGGCCCCUUACUGAAUGAGGGAGGCAACCUAGUGACAGAGGAUGUGGAAAAACUAAUGUACUCAAUGCUUUUUUUGCCUCUGUCUUCACAAACAAGGUCAGCUCCCAGACUGCUGGACUGGGCAGCACAGUAUGGCGAGGAGGUGACCAGUCCUCCGUGGAGAAAGAAGUGGUUCGGGACUAUUUAGAAAAACUGGAUGAGCACAAAUCCAUGAGGCCGGAUGCGUUGCAUCUGAGGGUGCUAAAGGAGUUGGCAGAUGUGAUUGUGUAGCCAUUGGCCAUCAUCUUUGAAAACUCAUGGCGAUCGGGGGAGGUCCCGGAUGACUGGAAAAAGGCUAAUGUAGUGCCCAUCUUUAAAAAAGGGAAGAAGGAGAAUCCGGGGAACUACAGGCCAGUCAGCCU